rnacentral:lncRNA from 1 species
ACCUUGACCCCUCGUCUUUUGCUUUGCCCUGGACGACAAAUAUAUAUGUGCAAAAUCAUCAACCAUGCAGUUCUCUUCCGAAUAUUUCAUGUUUAAUGCCUUAACCAAGCUUACUGGCGGUGAUUCGCUACUAUUUUGUUCCUCCAUCGUUGUGAAACAAACACUUAAAGCUUUAAUAAAAAGCGAUCAAUCUUGCAGCCAUUUUGUCCAAGGUAUUGUG